UACGUAGGGGGCAAGCGUUGUCCGGAUUUAUUGGGCGUAAAGCGCUCGCAGGUGGUUCGUCGCGUCGUGCGUGAAAGACCCCGGCUCAACUGGGGGAGGUCGUGCGAUACGGGCGGACUGGAGGCCAGUAGGGGGAUGCGGAAUUCCGGGUGUAGUGGUGGAAUGCGUAGAGAUCCGGAGGAACACCAGCGGCGAAGGCGGCAUACUGGACUGGUCCUGACACUCAUGAGCGAAAGCGUGGGGAGCGAUCCGG
rnacentral:rRNA from 1 species